rnacentral:rRNA from 1 species
CGAAUUCAGAUGUGAAACGCUGUAAUUCCGAUGGUAGUGUGGGGUUUCCCCAUGUGAGAGUAGGGUACCGCCAGGU